rnacentral:lncRNA from 1 species
AGAGAUUGUCCAGUUUGUACACGAGGUGCGUCCAGUUUUCGCAAUGACCCUCUCUACUCUUUUGCAUAUGCUAUGCGGGUGAAAUGAUGAUACCAUGCCAAGUUCCAACAUUUUCAGAGUUCAUUUUGUAGUGAUUUUCAAUUUCACCGUCAUUUAGCUCUCUAAACAAAUCGGUAAAUGACUGAAAAACAGCAAAUGAUGUCAGAACGUGUUGGAAAUUGAUGACAUCGCUUUGAAUGAUGCAUACUGAACGCAAAAAUAGGCUGGAGUUCAAAUAAGUUUAAAAAACAUUGAAGUUCCCGUGUAACAGAUGACUUCUCAUCCGAAACCUUGAUACUCCGAAAGAGAUUGUCCAGUUUGUACACCAGGUGCGUCCAGUUUUCGCCGUGACCCUCUCUACUCUUUUGCAAAUGCUAUGCGGGUGAAAUGAUGAUACCAUGCCAAGUUCCAACAUUUUCAGAGUUCAUUUUGUAGUGAUUUUCAAUUUCACCGUCAUUUAGCUCUCUAAACAAAUCGGUAAAUGACUGAAAAACAACAAAUGAUGUCAGAACAUGUUGGAAAUUGAUGACGUCGCUUUGAAUGAUGC